AGAAUUCUGUAUCCGUGCUGAGAUUUCGUCACACACCAGACUACAAGAGCUGAUGAGACUCCCAUUACCGUUAUAAAUUGAUCA
rnacentral:pre_miRNA from 1 species